rnacentral:rRNA from 1 species
CGGGAAAAGCUCAAAUUUGAAAUCUGGCGGCUUCGUCGUCCGAGUUGUAAUUUAGAGAAGUGUUACCCGUGCUGGACCGUACACAAGUCUCCUGGAAUGGAGCGUCAUAGAGGGUGAGAAUCCCGUCUGUGGUACGGACUUCCCAGUGCAUUGUGGUGUGCUCUCGA